AUGUUGCCUUGGCACCGGCCUGGAGAGGGUUAGCACAGGAGCCAGGCUGAGUUUAAUUAAAGAAUUUCCGUGUGUCAGCAGCAGGAGACUUUGAUUAAAGUGAGAAGCAGCCAAGAUUCCGGGAAGCGCGUCUUUCUCCUGUCUCCUCCCCAAGAUGUGCGGGUGUCCUUCCCCCAACACCAUGGAAGAAGGGGUCCAGGAAGAAAAUGUCACACUUGCCUGUGACCCCCACCUGGUCUGCAGAAAGGCAGAGAAGACCUGCUUAUGGAGGAAAAAGACGGCCUCUGUCUGGAGCUUCUAUGAAUUACAUAACGAAUAAGUGAUUUCACUACAAAGCAGUGAAAUUUUUAAAAGUUAACCAGUGGCAGAAGUGUCAGGACAGUCUGCACGGGCAAGAAUGAUACCUAAAUCACUACUCAGGCACAGGAGAGAGCAGGACUGGCAUGGCUGGCAGGUAUGGACCUCCAUGAACCCCAUUAAACAGGAAGGGGCAAUAAGCAACCUUCUGGUUUAAGAGUCACAAAGUUAAUCUUCCAGUUCUCUAUGUAGCAGGCGCUGUACUUUGGCCAAGCCAAUCUCCAUUUGCAACAUGUUUCUCCCUUACUUGACUCCACUAUAGAGAGAGUAAAAGCUAAAUUUUGAUGUUCCACCCCCACCCCCUUAUUGAUAUGAGAAAUAAGUCUUCUGGUGCAUUCCUCUCCAAUUUCUGUCUUCUUUCCACUUGAGCUGCCAGGAGAUGCAACAGUCGUUUUGAAACCAAAAAGAUAAAAACUGCAUACUAAGAAUGCAUGAACCUAAAGAUUUACAGAGCCUGGGACACUGGGGAUACUUGGAGUCAAUGUAUCAGCCUUGGACUGAUUCCCAUGGGACUUCUUAUUACCCAAGUGAAACAGUCCUUCCUUUCAUCUGUUAAGCCACUAUGGUAUGUUUUGCUGGUUCUCGUAGCCAAAUACAGUUUUGACUGCUAUACCCAUUUUUUUCUUAUGGAUGUUCAUGACUUCUUUUAUAUUGUGGAUUGUAUUGUGAAUAUGUAUCUUAUUUGUUGCAAAUAUUUUCUCAGUCUUUUUGUCCUUUAAUUUAAGAUAUUAUUCAAU
rnacentral:lncRNA from 1 species